GCAGCCCUCUCUCUCCACCACCAGCAACGUUCGCCUCCACCUCUAUCUCUCUCUCUCCCUCUCCCUCAAUCGGUACCACCAGCCGCGUCCGCCUCCACCUCUCUCUCCCUCCUCUCCCUCAAUCGGUACCACCAUCCGCGACCGCCUCCACCUCUCUCUCCCUCAUUCCCUACCACCACGCUGUGCAGCCUCAGAUUACAGGUAAGACCCCUACCACCACGCUGUGCAGCCUCGGAUUGAGCCUUACAAGCAUGGAAUGAGCAGCAUAGAUCUAGGAUUUCAAAAGGUAGACUACAAGGCAUGGUUCGAUUGUUUAUAGCGGAAACAAAUCACUCUUGUUGAUAAUGAUGGUGUCAAGUUAAAGUUUCUCUUGUGGGGAGAGCAGGUUCUCCUUGCGAAUCUUUUCAGUGUAGGAAGUAUGCUUGCACUGGAUAGACCUUUCAUUGCAAAUGUUAUAGACAGUGAUAUGCAAACAAAUGCUGAAAUCUGUCUUGAAUAUGGUAGUGCCACGCAGUUAUAUUUGGUCCCCUUUAUUCAACAUGAAGAGCAGGUACUUGUAGCAUCCACACCAAAUUGGUGUCAAGGAUCAAGGCUGUUGAAUGGAUUGAGUCAAAGUCAGGGUCCUAAAGUUUCUCAAGUGGCAUUGCCCUGCUGAAGGUUCUAUUGACUUCAGUAAUUAUCCUUUCAGAUCAUUUAUUGUUGAUCUUCGUGACAAGAUGACUGGAAUCAGCCUUUAUGGUGCUGUAACAAACAUCUUAAGAGAAGGCAAUACUGAAGAAGCUAUAUUUUCUCUGACAAUUGAAGAUACAACAGGAGCAAUUGUGGCAAAGCUACACUUUGUUAGAUCUUGGUAAUGACAAACGAUCACUUCUUAAGUAUUGCUUAAGAAGACAAUGUAGUAUUUGUGAAGACAAUGUAGUAUUUGUGACUGCAAGACCUAAUGGGUGCUACCAUUGUUUCCACUAGUCUGUUGACCUAAUGGGUGCUACCAUGGAUGGAUCAUGUUCUAAAAUAUCACACAGAUUAGAAAUUCUAGCCUUCCAAUCCUUUUUUUUUUCCUGCUGAAUGUGGAGUGGCUACAUUUUUUCUCAUAACCAUCAAUUUGCAAUCAUGAAGAAUUUUGGGCGUCCUUAUCUUUGGUGGGGCCCAUGAGAUCAAUGGUCUAUAUACCAAACCAUGACCUCCACUCGUACUGUAUAGCAUAUCAGGACUUUGUUCACACCCGAUUGGGAUUAGACCACUGGCCCAACACCACUGUACAAAUCUAUGGCUUUCCAAAUUACUGUCAGUUUUGAAAUCGAA